CAGCGGGGCCUGAGGACCGACUUUGAGAACCACUGCUUUAAGUAAAUAAUUUAGGGCUUUUCCCACCUUUAUUUUUUUUUACUUGGUGACCAGCACGCAGUGCAGACUCCUGCACACGCAUGCACCAUGAAACCAGGAGACGCCUUUGUCUGGAUCAAGAGGUCUAACGUGGGGGUGGGAAAGCAGGCAGCUCCUCUCAUUGGCGUCAGUGGCUUUAAGAUUGAAUUCUUCAUCGCUUUAAUGUAAUGAACCUAUAUUUGCCAUUUGUACCAGUACAUCAGAAUGGAACUUUUCAUAUAUUCCAUCUAGCUUUUCUUUGAAACACACACACACACACGAGAGUGAAGCCUGGCCUGGGAUCUGAACACAUACUCAGACCAUUUACCUGGUGUUCAUGUUUUGAGGUGAACGGGUCUUGCACAGUCACCCACCAAAGAUGAGGCCGGGACUCGAAACAGCAACUGUCUGAUCACAGGCAGCGAGACCUCACCCCCUGUGCAGUACGCCGCCCCAACAGCACACUGGGACUCGGUUAGCUACUCCCUGAGCACCGUAAAUGAAAACAAGCCGAGGCAUGAAGUAUGUAAACAACAUGUGCAAGAUACACAAUAAUAUGUUACAUGUUCUGUUCAAUAAAUAAAUACAAUAAAUGGUGUGAAAGGUGUGGCGACCGCACCGUACUCAGGGAGGGGGGGGGGGGGGGCGGAGCCUGACAAGCAGAGCAGCGGUACGAAAGCACAUCAGCGGUGGAGACGAACUCGGUGUAUCUCAACAUCCCUGCCCCAGAAACGAGGCACCACAGGCUAGAGGGGGGGGUAUUAUGUCGCGAGAAUAUUAACAUUUAACGUAAGUAACCCAUAAUGCAUCAUUAAAAUGGCUGCUUAAUGGACAACAGGGCACAGAGAGACAACAUGUUUUCCUUGGGUGUUCAGCAUUGUUUCUCAGGCCAGUCCUCAGGGACCACCAGACGGUCCACAUUUUUGCUCUCUCCUUCCCUGGACGGGAUACGUCUACAUAAGGUCAGAUACAAUAACUUGUACAGAUUGGAUGAACAGGUAAAGCUGCAUCUGUGUUUAUUGUUUCAUACUUUUACAGUUCCUGCUAUAAGAAAUCAAAACUAGACAAAAAAAUCUCAUUUGAGUCAAAAGAUCCUAAGGUAGGUCAUCUGAAAAUAAAUAAAUGACUGAGGAUCGUUCCCCCACAGCUGAGAAGAUACUGAAAGAAACAGCUAACAUUCCCUCCAAAGUAUUACCUGGCGAUAACAGAGAAGCAUAUAGAGGAGAGGAGGAGAAGUAUCUCCAGCAAGGAGAGCUUCUGGGGCUCAUCAGCACCCGGGGUGGACUGCGAUGCCGUUAACACCUCAGCAAAACAAGAGGCCCUCUUGUACACAAGCAGGAGAAGUAGCUCUGGUUCAGCGUUUGUUGUGUGGCAGUCAGAAGUACGCAGGGUGGAUCUGCUCUCGCACUCUGACGCGGGGACCCUCCCUUCUGCUAUGUGUCCUCCACACCCAUAUCCCCAGGACACCUUCCGCAUUCAGGCGCAGGGUGGGGUCCAGUGCAUCCUGCUGUCAGCACCAGGAGUCCAAACCCUUCUGCAGGUGACGAACACCAAGCCUGUCUGACACGCCAGUGGCUGAUUAUUAAGUGUCACUCCCUGGUCUUUUGUCUGGCUGGACUUCAGCUUUGAGCUGCUCACAUUGAACCCCUGUUUGCAGUUUGCCAGCAGACCUGUGGAAUGCUUCGGCUCGUCACCCUUUGUUUAAGGGACAGAGCCUGGACUGGAUGUCUUAAUUGGCUCCUUUUAUCCAUGUGACAAAAGCAACACGUUCCUGUCAGUGGCCCCAUGUUAUCUCCGCGCAUUGAUCUGCCUGGACCUGCAAAGGUUAACGUUUGUUGGCAGAGUUUGCUAUGCAUUUGAUAAAUAAGGGGAAAUGCUUUAUUAUAAAAGCUGUAACGUUUUCCGUGUUAGUUAAGAUGCGACAGACAAGUCCCGAAGUCCCAAAAUGGGUGGCAGUACACUGCAUGGUCCCGUCACUUUGAGUUUUACACAGUGGGAACUAAUAGAGUUGCCAAAAGAUGGAUUUACAUGAGAGCGCUGCAUGGCAACACUGCUGCUUAGCUACAGACAGCUGAGCGAAUGCAGGACCUGGUUUGUGGGAUUGUGGGAAGUCAGCGGGGGUUGGAGCUGUCACACUAUUCGUAACGAAAUAUGCAUGCAUGUUGUGGGCCUUAGCUGGUGUUAGAAGACAGACAGAAUAAAUCCUCUGACAUGGUUCUGUUA